rnacentral:rRNA from 1 species
AAUGAACGCUGGCGGCGCGCCUAAUACAUGCAAGUCGAGCGAGAAGACGUAGCAAUACGUUUGUAAAGCGGCGAACGGGUGAGGAAUACAUGGGUAACCUACCCUCGAGUGGGGAAUAACUAGCCGAAAGGUUAGCUAAUACCGCGUACGCUCCUUGGACUUCGGUUCAGGGAGGAAAGCGAUACCGUGGGUAUCGCGCUCUUGGUUGGGCUCAUGUCCUAUCAGCUUGUUGGNGAGGUAACGGCUCACCAAGGCUUCGACGGGUAGCUGGUCUGAGAGGACGAUCAGCCACACUGGCACUGCGACACGGGCCAGACUCCUACGGGAGGCAGCAGUAAGGAAUAUUGCGCAAUGGGCAAAGCCUGACGCAGCGACGCCGCGUGGGGGAUGAAGGUCUUCGGAUUGUAAACCCCUUUCGGGAGGGAAGAUGGAACGAGCAAUCGUUCGGACGGUACCUCCAGAAGCAGCCACGGCUAACUUCGUGCCAGCCGCCGCGGU